rnacentral:rRNA from 1 species
UACGGAGGGUGCAAGCGUUAUCCGGAUUCACUGGGUUUAAAGGGUGCGUAGGUGGGCUGAUAAGUCAGCGGUGAAAUCUCCGGGCUUAACCUGGAAACUGCCAUUGAUACUAUCGGUCUUGAAUCUCGCGUAGGUAAGCGGAAUAUGUCAUGUAGCGGUGAAAUGCUUAGAUAUGACAUAGAACACCAAUUGCGAAGGCAGCUUACUUCACGAGUAUUGACACUGAGGCACGAAAGCGUGGGGAGCAAACAGG